rnacentral:rRNA from 1 species
GAUGAACGCUAGCGGCAGGCCUAAUACAUGCAAGUCGAACGAGAUUAAGAGGCUUGCUUCUUAUGAAAGUGGCGCACGGGUGCGUAACGCGUAUGCAGCCUACCUUAAUCAGGGGGAUAGCCCGAAGAAAUUCAGAUUAAGACCGCAUAAAAACACAGGAUAGCAUUAUCCAAUGUUCAAAUAUUUAUAGGAUUAAGAUGGGCAUGCGUGUCAUUAGCUAGUUGGCGGGGUAACGGCCCACCAAGGCGACGAUGACUAGGGGAUCUGAGAGGAUGACCCCCCACACUGGUACUGAGACACGGACCAGACUCCUACGGGAGGCAGCAGUAAGGAAUAUUGGUCAAUGGAGGGAACUCUGAACCAGCCAUGCCGCGUGCAGGAAGACAGCCCUCUGGGUCGUAAACUGCUUCUAUUCGGGAAUAAACCUUUCUACGUGUAGGAAGCUGAAUGUACCGAAGGAAUAAGGAUCGGCUAACUCCGUGCCAGCCGCCGCCGUAA